UACGUAGGGGGCGAGCGUUGUCCGGAUUUAUUGGGCGUAAAGAGCUCGUAGGCGGUUUGGCAAGUCGGGUGUGAAAACUCCGGGCUCAACUCGGAGACGCCACUCGAUACUGCCAUGACUCGAGUCCGGUAGGGGAGUGCGGAAUUCCUGGUGUAGCGGUGAAAUGCGCAGAUAUCAGGAGGAACACCGGUGGCGAAGGCGGCACUCUGGGCCGGUACUGACGCUGAGGAGCGAAAGCGUGGGGAGCAAACAGG
rnacentral:rRNA from 1 species